rnacentral:lncRNA from 1 species
AAAAAAAAAAGAAAAAAAAAAAGCUCUCUUACAGGCAGGCACAUAACUUUGGCAAAAGCCUUAGGAGUUUCUGGAAUAUUUUCAAGAUUUAAUUUCUCCUUACAACCAAGGUGAUGGGAGAUGAAAAUCCUUCCAUCCAUACACUUUCCUCCCUCUCCAUCCCAAUGAAUAUUUAUGGAUGAAUUAUUAGAGACAACUGAGACAGCUCCCUCCCCAAAGAGACAACUGUUGUGCUCUGGAUAUUCAGUUAGGGCAUCUGAGCAAGGCAGCAGCAGGAGCUUGAAGAGGUCACCUGCAUCAGGAAUUGUCACUCUGGAGCAUCAGGUAUCCUGCUGGGCUACUGAAGGCAUUAUCCUUCUUACUUUCACAGCUUCAGACAUACUCUCAAGACGUACAUAUGCUGAGAGGUGAUAAGAACAACUACUAUGGUACAAGCCUUAUCUGUGGAGAAUGAUGUAAGAGCUCCUAAGCAGCUAACUUACAUGACAAGGACUUUAAGCACAGUUUUAAACAAAUAUUACAAAGUGACAUUUAACAGUCUUAUGCUGUUGAAGAAAGAACACUUAUGAUAUUUAAAAUAUGUCAACUGCAUACAUCAUGCUAUCUAUUUUAGAUAUCUGAGAAUCAGCCUUGAGACUAAGCAAAAUGGAAGGUCUUUCUCCUCCAGUAUCUUAAAGUUUUGCUGAAAGCCUAAAUCUUCCCUGUUUUUCUCCAUCUGUCUGAUAGAGACAAUAGCUCUUUCCAUAACUUUUGCCUUAAUAUUCCAUACAUAUAAUAACAACAGGUUUAAGAAGCUAUAGCUAAAUCUUUCUACCAAAUAGAAAACAAGGGUUGGAAACACCACAAGGUGAUUCAUUUCAAGAUGCCAGAAAUUGUCUAAUCACUGAGAAAAGAUAGAUCCCACCAAAGACUACGUCUUUUCACUUACCAGAGAGAGAGCAUAGAUGACAAAUUUGCACUGGAUGCUUAGAUUUUAGAUGGACACUCAUAAGUGAAAUGUGCACCAUGCCAAUUGUGCAACCCUCUACGUGCCCCCACACCGUUAUUAUUCCUUAAGUCCCACCAAAAAAGAUUGGGUUUUGGUGUUGCAAGUUGGUCAUUUGAUGAGGAUAAAAAUUUAGAUGAUAAUCUGUAAAUGAAUAUAAGAAAUCUCAGGGACUGCAGGUAGAGAUUGAGUUCAGAAUUGAAAGAAGAGAACUUGCUCAAAAAAACUGUGUAGAGACAAGAUACUUGCCUGACCACCAUGGUGGACCACCACAGU